rnacentral:rRNA from 1 species
GAUGAACGCUGGCGGCGUGCCUAAUACAUGCAAGUCGAGCGAACGGGCGAGAAGCUUGCUUCUCUGAUGUUAGCGGCGGACGGGUGAGUAACACGUGGAUAACCUACCUAUAAGACUGGGAUAACUUCGGGAAACCGGAGCUAAUACCGGAUGAUAUUUUGAACCGCAUGGUUCAAAAGUGAAAGACGGUCUUGCUGUCACUUAUAGAUGGAUCCGCGCUGCAUUAGCUAGUUGGUAAGGUAACGGCGUACCAAGGCAACGAUGCAUAGCCGACCUGAGAGGGUGAUCGGCCACACUGGAACUGAGACACGGUCCAGACUCCUACGGGAGGCAGCAGUAGGGAAUCUUCCGCAAUGGGCGAAAGCCUGACGGAGCAACGCCGCGUGAGUGAUGAAGGUCUUCGGAUCGUAAAACUCUGUUAUUAGGGAAGAACAUAUGUGUAAGUAACUGUGCACAUCUUGACGGUACCUAAUCAGAAAGCCACGGCUAACUACGUG